AUUGAACGCUGGCGGCAGGCCUAACACAUGCAAGUCGAACGAGCGGCGGACGGGUGAGUAAUGUCUGGGAAACUGCCCGUUAGAGGGGGAUAACUACUGGAAACCGUAGCUAAUACCGCAUACUAUCAGAUGAUCCCAGAUGGGAUUAGCUAGUUGGUGGGGUAAUGGCUCACCAAGGCGACGAUCCCUAGCUGGUCUGAGCGGAUGACCAGCCACACUGGGACUGAGACACGGCCCAGACGCCUACGGGAGGCAGCAGUGGGGAAUAUUGCACAAUGGGCGCAAGCCUGAUGGAGCAAUGCCGCGUGAAUGAAGAAGGCCUUAGGGUUGUAAAGCACUGUCAGUGGGGAGGCGUUACCGGAAGAAGAAGCACCGGCUAACUCCGUGCCAGCAGCCGCGGUAAUUC
rnacentral:rRNA from 1 species